rnacentral:lncRNA from 1 species
UUCCAGCGCCUCUGCUUUCGGAUUCCCUGCGACGGGCGCCGAUGCUCCACUGCAUAUGUUUGCUUCCAAGGUUGUCAGUAGUGUCCUAUUUCACCACUGAUGCUGGAAGUGUCUGAGUCUGCAUGAACACCUCCCUGGUUUAGUCUGUUAAUCUGUUUCGUAUGAACAACAACUAGGAUCGAUGUUGCCUUUGAGCCAAAGCCUACUUGUGCUCCGGUCUCCCACCUCCUUCCCUAGCCAUUAAUUAAAAACAAAAAAUUUCAAGCUAAUGGGUUACUUGAAUGCCGCGGAUGGCACCCUGAAGGCUAAGAACGGUUAGAGGAUUUGAAUGUCGGGUGUCCUGACGGUCUGCAGAGUUAUCCCCAAGAC